rnacentral:rRNA from 1 species
GCAUAUCAAUAAGCGGAGGAAAAGAAACCAACAGGGAUUGCCCCAGUAACGGCGAGUGAAGCGGCAACAGCUCAAAUUUGAAAUCUGGCCCCUAGGGUCCGAGUUGUAAUUUGCAGAGGAUGCUUUUGACAAGGUGCCUUCCGAGUUCCCUGGAACGGGACGCCAUAGAGGGUGAGAGCCCCGUCUGGUCGGAUACCGCGUCUCUGUAAAGCUCCUUCGACGAGUCGAGUAGUUUGGGAAUGCUGCUCAAAAUGGGAGGUAUAUGUCUUCUAAAGCUAAAUAUUGGCCAGAGACCGAUAGCGCACAAGUAGAGUGAUCGAAAGAUGAAAAGCACUUUGAAAAGAGGGUUAAAAAGUACGUGAAAUUGUUGAAAGGGAAGCGCCUAUGACCAGACUUGGGCCCGGUGAAUCAUCCAGCGUUCUCGCUGGUGCACUUUGCCGGGCACAGGCCAGCAUCAGUUUGGCUUGGGGGAAAAAGGCUUUGGGAACGUAGCUCCUCGGAGUGUUAUAGACCAUUGCAUAAUACCCUGGGCCGGACUGAGGUUCGCGCAUCUGCAAGGAUGCUGGCGUAAUGGUCAUCAGCGACCCGUCUUGAAACACGGACC